rnacentral:snRNA from 1 species
AGAUGUGAGGCUGUCUGGCUGCGACAUCUGCCACCUCACUGACCACCAGGGUUGAUUCAGCUGACCUGGCUGGCUAGGCGGGUGUUCCCUUCCUCCCUCACCACUCCAAGUGCAUCCCUCCCAAAGCUGUGCACUUGGCCGAAGAGGACAACCGUCCCCCAACAGAGGGGGACUGGUCAAGGGUAUGAGCAGCUGCGCUCCCCUGCUAGAACCUUCAAGCAAGCUUGCAAGGUCCAGUUAAGCCAUCUCCAACAAUCAAGCU